rnacentral:misc_RNA from 1 species
CUGGAUUUUCGAUUUUCAGAUGCGUCGCUAUAGUUAUUUUCAAAGCAAACAAUCUGAAAUAUUCUUGGAGAAAAGAAGAAAAAUAACUAACAGCAGAAAGGUGGCGAAACGAGAUUCAAGCUCUCGCGGUUCUUUCUCACGGCGGAGAAAAAAAAAACGACGUCAUCCAGCUGCGAGUUGAAGAUGUUCCGAGUCACCGUAGCGCCGGCAGCAACUGCUGACUCGAAGCUUGCUCGCCUUUAUGGACCAACUCAGCUAAUCCACGAAGGUCCGAGUUUUUCUCGCGCCGUCGACGAGUCGAUUGAAGAAAGAAGUGGAGUACCGAUGGACUCGGCGACAA